CUCUGAACCCCAAAAGAACACCCCUAAGCUUCAGCAACACUAACAGUCGACCAACCAGCCCAAUCGCCGUUCAACAACAGCCGACCACCCCCUUCUUCCAAGACCAAACCGCCACACCCCUUCUCCUAUGAAGCUUUAAUUUCGCAAUUAAAAGAUCUUCUACUUCUAGUUCUACACCUUUCGAAUCCUUUUACCCAUAGAAGCUCAGAUUGUUGAACUAAUUUUGGCCACUAAUGAAUUGGUUUGGGGAGCUCAUUGCUGAUUUCAAUCGCUUCUAAGUUAAUAAGAAAAACUUUAAGAGAAUGCAAAACAGAAGCAUGCCAUAAUAAGAAAGACCAAAUUAAGAGAGAAGGUUGAGUUAAAAUUCUCCAAUUUCAAAUCUUGAGCAAUUUCACGACAUCUUCCAUUUCCAAAAUAGAAUAUCAGUCUGCUACUUUAACUCUUGAUCUGUGGAGACAAACUAUCAUUUUUAGUCAUAAGUGAGGCUUUCGUUCAUGGAUCAACGAUUCCUGUCUCGUUUGAUUUCCAACCGAGGUUCCGAUCAACGUUUCACUUAGUCCAUUUUUGAGGAAUUUUCAGCAGUUGUAAAUGUCCAAUUCUCUCUUUGUCUUAAUCUUUUAUUCAACAAAAGUGAAAAUGGCAUGAGGUUUUUUUUUGUAAAUAGGGUGUUAUUUGAUUGAGUUAAUUACGAUUU
rnacentral:lncRNA from 1 species